CGUAAUAGCUCACUGGUCGAGUCGGCCUGCGCGGAAGAUGUAACGGGGCUAAACCAUGCACCGAAGCUGCGGCAGCGACACUAUGUGUUGUUGGGUAGGGGAGCGUUCUGUAAGCCUGUGAAGGUGUGCUGUGAGGCAUGCUGGAGGUAUCAGAAGUGCGAAUGCUGACAUAAGUAACGAUAAAGCGGGUGAAAAGCCCGCUCGCCGGAAGACCAAGGGUUCCUGUCCAACGUUAAUCGGGGCAGGGUGAGUCGACCCCUAAGG
rnacentral:rRNA from 1 species